AAAAACCAACAAGGAAGGAGUGAAUGUUCAAGAAAGUCUUCUCCAGGUCCAAAUUCCACUUGGAUUCCACUCCGUUCUGGAGUCUAGAAAUCCAAGACCAAGGUUCUGGCUCAUUCGGUUUCUGUUCGUAACAAACCUGAUGAACUAGCAGUGAGUGAGACACAAGCAUCGAGGGAGACAGAUGCUUCAGCCCUCCGGCCUCACAGCUCCAGUGUGACAGUCUGCUGUUCUCAAUGUUUUUCCCGCUAAGUCACACAUGAUAGAAGAUGUGCACUCUGAGGACGGGCUCCCAUGUGUGCUUCUCGGUGCAUCCGAGUCUCCAUGACCCGCUCCCUCCCCCUCUGCAAAAACUCAUC